rnacentral:misc_RNA from 1 species
GCAAACUUGGUCAUUUAGAGGAAGUACAAGUCGUAACAAGGUUUCCGUAGGUGAACCUGCGGAAGGAUCAUUAACAAGUCCGUGCGAUACAAUGUUAUCGUACAUUUAUUGCGAUACAAUGUUAUCGUACAUUUAUUGCGAUACAAUGUUAUCGUACAUUUAUGUGCUCUGGCGGUAUGCUAGAAUGCACCUUAUAUAUAUAUGUUGUCAUGUGUCAUGUAAUAUUCAUAACCAUAAAAUCCAAACAUACUUUUAACAAUGGAUCUCUUGGCUCUUGCAUCGAUGAAGAACGCAGC